rnacentral:rRNA from 1 species
AUUGAACGCUGGCGGCAUGCCUUACACAUGCAAGUCGAACGGUAACAGGUCUUCGGAUGCUGACGAGUGGCGAACGGGUGAGUAAUACAUCGGAACGUGCCCGAUCGUGGGGGAUAACGGAGCGAAAGCUUUGCUAAUACCGCAUACGAUCUACGGAUGAAAGCAGGGGACCGCAAGGCCUUGCGCGGACGGAGCGGCCGAUGGCAGAUUAGGUAGUUGGUGGGAUAAGAGCUUACCAAGCCGACGAUCUGUAGCUGGUCUGAGAGGACGACCAGCCACACUGGGACUGAGACACGGCCCAGACUCCUACGGGAGGCAGCAGUGGGGAAUUUUGGACAAUGGGCGAAAGCCUGAUCCAGCCAUGCCGCGUGCAGGAUGAAGGCCUUCGGGUUGUAAACUGCUUUUGUACGGAACGAAAAGACUCUUUCUAAUAAAGAGGGUCCAUGACGGUACCGUAAGAAUAAGCACCGGCUAACUACGUG